AGUGAACGCUGGCGGUAGGCCUAACACAUGCAAGUCGAACGGCAGCACAGUAAGAGCUUGCUCUUACGGGUGGCGAGUGGCGGACGGGUGAGGAAUACAUCGGAAUCUACUUUUUCGUGGGGGAUAACGUAGGGAAACUUACGCUAAUACCGCAUACGACCUACGGGUGAAAGCAGGGGAUCUUCGGACCUUGCGCGAUUGAAUGAGCCGAUGUCGGAUUAGCUAGUUGGCGGGGUAAAGGCCCACCAAGGCGACGAUCCGUAGCUGGUCUGAGAGAAUGAUCAGCCACACUAGAACUGAGACACGGUCCAGACUCCUGCGGGAGGCAGCAGUGGGGAAUAUUGGACAAUGGGCGCAAGCCUGAUCCAGCCAUACCGCGUGGGUGAAGAAGGCCUUCGGGUUGUAAAGCCCUUUUGUUGGGAAAGAAAAGCAGCAGGUUAAUACCCCGCUGUUCUGACGGUACCCAAAGAAUAAGCACCGGCUAACUUCGUG
rnacentral:rRNA from 1 species